UAAUACAUGCAAGUCGAGCGAAUCGACGGGAGCUUGCUCCCUGAGAUUAGCGGCGGACGGGUGAGUAACACGUGGGCAACCUGCCUAUAAGACUGGGAUAACUUCGGGAAACCGGAGCUAAUACCGGAUACGUUCUUUUCUCGCAUGAGAGAAGAUGGAAAGACGGUUUACGCUGUCACUUAUAGAUGGGCCCGCGGCGCAUUAGCUAGUUGGUGAGGUAAUGGCUCACCAAGGCGACGAUGCGUAGCCGACCUGAGAGGGUGAUCGGCCACACUGGGACUGAGACACGGCCCAGACUCCUACGGGAGGCAGCAGUAGGGAAUCUUCCGCAAUGGACGAAAGUCUGACGGAGCAACGCCGCGUGAACGAAGAAGGCCUUCGGGUCGUAAAGUUCUGUUGUUAGGGAAGAACAAGUACC
rnacentral:rRNA from 1 species